rnacentral:rRNA from 1 species
GACGAACGCUGGCGGCGUGCUUAACACAUGCAAGUCGAACGAAGUGGCGAACGGGUGAGUACUACGUGGGUAACCUGCCCUCCUUUUUGGGAUAAGCCUUGGAAACGGGGUCUAAUACCGAAUACAGGGGGAUGGGCUCGCGGCCUAUCAGCCUGUUGGUGGGGGGAUGGCCUAUCAAGGCGGUGCCGGGUAGCCGGCCUGAGAGGGUGACAGGCCACAUUGGGACUGAGAUACGGCCCAGACUCCUACGGGAGGCAGCAGUGGGGGAUAUUGCACAAUGGGCGAAAGUGUGAUGCAGCAAUGCCGCGUGUAUGAAGAAGGCCUUCGGGUUGUAAAGUACUUUCAGUCGAGAGGCGUUACCGAAAGAAGAAGCACCGGCUAACUCCGUGCCAGCAGCCGCGGUAAUAC